CGGGCGGCAAGGCUCCGGGCCAGCAUGGGGGCUUCGUGGUGACUGUCAAGCAAGAGCGCGGCGAGGGUCCACGCGCCGGCGAGAAGGGGUCCCACGAGGAGGAGCCCAGAUUUUCCUCCGGAAGCUGAGACCCCGCCCCGUGCGAGCUGCCACGCCCCUGACAGGUCCUCUGCCACUCUAAGUCCAGGCCCCGCCCACCACACAAUGCCAGCUCUGCCCACUAUAAGGUCCCGCCCACUUCCACUCCUUGGGGGCGGCACCCUCCCCUUGGUCCUGUGGGCCGGUUCUCCAGCAAAAACCACGCCCACCAGGCAGAGGCCACGCCCACAACCGAAGUCAACACCACCCCUGUGCUCAAACCUCG
rnacentral:sRNA from 1 species